AACACAAAAGUCAGAAAUGAGAGUUAAAGUCUGACGCUCGCACUCGACGAUUGAAACGCCUCUAACAAAUUGAUAUACAAUUAAUUUUUCAAUAAAAUGUAAGGAAUCGAAUGGUACCAUUUCUUGUUCUAUUUUUGAAUGAAAAAAAAAAAUUGUUUUUUGAGGGUUUAGAGCCUUGUAUUUUUUUAUAGUUUCAAUAUCAUUUUUUAAAUUCCAUCUUUUUUAUAAUGGAUGGCUCAUUUUCUACCCAUUUAACUAGAUUUUGUUAUAAUAUUCAACAUGUGUCAAGUACCCAAUUGACUAAUAAAGUAAUAACUUAGCUGCUAACUGCUACCAAUACUGGCGAGUGACGACAAAUAUUGCAACCCACUUUAAGAUAGGUAUUAUAUACUGUAUGUAAGCACUAGGACCCAACAUUAGUCACCAUCAAUCGUCAAAGCCAACAGACAUUGCACCACGUUACGUCUUGAUGAUAGAGAUCGUGAUAUAUGUCGCUAUCUCCAUAACCGUGACAUAAUAUGGCAUGUUGAAUAUAUACAGUGUAGCGACCUACGGAGCGGAUCACUGUACAGACCGGCAUUGGCUGAGGGUACAAUGCAACCUACUCGGUUCAAUCGACAAGUCUUACACUAAUAAUAGUAUUUUAUACAAUCGUGUCGUGAUAUAAGCUCUCCAGCUUUUUAUUUGUGCUUAAGUUAAGCUUUAAGUAAGCUUUCUGAGUGGCCUGAGUAAAAUACAAGAUUGAAAAGCUUGAUUUGAUUAUAUCACUAUUGUAUACAAUAUUUUUUGAGUCGACUAAAAUAAAACGUUUUCUACUAUAAAACCUAAGUAAUUAAACAAAAUUAGGUUAGUAUAUCAGUAGAUAGAAGGCUAGAACAAACUACAUCAACGAGAUUAUUUUUCAUUAAAAUGAAUCUCGUUGAUGUCUUUUUUGUCCUCUUGACCGCGAAAAAUUUAUUAUAGUUCACUAAAGCGUUUCAUAAUGAUGCCAUUAUAAUUGAGUCGGGAAGCCCAUAGUGAAAAGCCAGUAGUAGCUAUUUGCGCGUAUAGUUUGGUAUUCGAAGUCUUCAUUGUUAAUACAACCAUUAAAGUCCACGAAUAGAAAAAUAAAUAGUACAUUAUUGCAGAGGCCGGGAAAUGGCAAUUCGUGGAUGAGUUUCGAUUCGCGCUCCGCUACGCGUCGUCCGACAAAGAAGACGAAUCCACGAAUUGCUGUUCCUGCCGAGGCCUAUAUACUGCUUUUCUCCAAACAUGUGAGGAAAUCAGGUAAAAUAAUCAUAAUUUAAACAUGAACCAAAAAAACUCAAAUCAAACCUUCACAUCAAAAACGUCAAAAUCAAUUUCCCUCUUUAAUUAUUUUUUAAAAGUUAAAGGCACAACUAUUCUGCCAUUCAGUACCAUUCAAUAUUCGCUCAUUCAAUAUAAUUGUUCAAUAUAAGCUGUAUUUGCACGCAUGAGAUCCUUAAAAAAAUAUAAAAGUUAUA